GUUUAUACGAGAAAAUGUAUAAUUUAGCCUGCCCACUGAAUUUUUAAAGGGCCGCGGUAAUUUGACCGUGCAAAGGUAGCAUAAUCAGUAGUCUUUUAAUUGGAGGCUUGUAUGAAAGGUUGGACGAGAGGAAAGCUGUCUUUAUAAUGGAUAUUGAAUUUUACUUUUAAGUGAAAAGUCUUAGAUGUACUUAAGGGACGAUAAGACCCUGUAAAACUUAACAGGGUUCUCUUGUCUAAGAAAUAUAAGUUAAACUUUAGUCUGUGGGACUCCUGUUUGGUUGGGGCGACUAGAAUAUAAUGUAGUAACUGUUCAGAAAAAUAAAUAAUUAUAAUUUGUAAACAUGACCCUUUAUUAAGGAUUAAAAGAUAAAGUUACUUCAGGGAUAACAGCGUGAUUUUUUUUGAGAGUCCUUAUCGACAAAAGUAGUUGCGACCUCGAUGUUGAAUUAAAAUUUCUUUCAAAUGUAGCAGUUUGAUUAGUGGGUCUGUUCGACCUUUAAAAUUUUACAUGAUUUGAGUUCAGACCGGUG
rnacentral:rRNA from 1 species